UAAUGUGCUUUGUCUAACCUUCAUUUAAUGAGUACAGAUCUGAUCACAAGGCUGGGAGUGAGUUGGAUUACGUCCUCCCAUCCCGAUAUGAUCUCGCACCAGGCUUUUAACAUUACCAUUUAAGCUACCAUCAAAGUUUAGUUUGAGGAUAUCACGAGGUGGGAAGCCCAUUGGUUUCAGAUUCUUCAACUCAAUUAGCUAGUGCAAAACAAAAAUAAAUGGCUUCCCGACCCCCCAACUCUCUUUCAUCCUAGGCAUAUGUUUCGGAUGCCAUUUCCACCACCUUGACAUGAAAUGCAAGCCACAGCAAGGCCUACAUCUUGUAUAGGGCUGGUAUCAUCCACCCACAUUCUGUUAACAGCUGAGAUGGGAUCGGAUCUUCACUAGGGGUGAGGACAUAAACUUUGAUGGAGAAAAACAGUCCCAGCACAGCCCAGCGCAUUUGCGGUGGUGUAGCAACUGUUAGCCCCUGUUGGGAGGCCAGAUUGUUGGUCCUCGGCCUUUUGUCUAGCCAUCGGUGCUGCCAUGCCAAAACUUUGUUGUCUUGCCAUCAUCUACCAACAGUCUAAUAUUUGACACCAUAGACCUAUGAACUUCAAUUUCCCCCAAUGUUUUUUGUUUUUGUGAAGCAACAUAACAUUUAUCCAGAGAGUUGCAAUGACUCCGAUGCCCAUCUCCACCACCAUCUGAGAGCCUGCUUCGUUCGUCUCUCCGCCUCCGUGUUUCUUUGAUUUACAAACUGAGAACCAAUUUACUUAUGUUUCUUGCUUGACUUCACCCAUAGGGUCCUCUUCAUAAGCCCCCCCCCCCCCCCCCUUAUGAAUCAGAGCAUUGAGAUGAAGUAUGCAUCCAAGUUCAAGAGAGUUGAUAAUCAGCGCUAUCUUACAGUUGGGUGAAAAAUA
rnacentral:lncRNA from 1 species